CCGCGCGGGCGAGUGAGCGUGUGUGUGUCGGUGUGUCUGUGCGUGUGCAAGGGGCGUGCAAGGCCCGUGUGGUUGUCGGCGUGCGAGGCGGGUGUGCGAGGCGCGCGCGCCAGACCCCCCCUUCCCCCCCCCUUCCCCUACACGUUGAUCUUAUUCGAUCGGCCGGGCCGGGCCGGGCCGAGGUGAGAAGAACGGCGCCGCGAAGCCCACGGGCGCUGUGCGGCGGCCAGCGGCGGGCGGGAUGAGUCGAUCAGAUAGGCGAGGCCGCGGCCGCUGAGCGCCCUGCGAUUCUGACCCGC
rnacentral:snoRNA from 1 species